UGGUGAAAAUCAUCCUUGAAUCCAGAGUGGGUCUUGAGGAUGAUCCAGAAGAGAUUGAGCUGAUGCUCUGGGAGUCCUGGUGCAGGAUAGCAUAUCCAAAGCUCUUAUAAGGAGAUGAAAACCAUGGGCUGGAUUUGCUGAGGUCUUCUGCCUUCUUGGGAACAAACACAGACUGAAUUGGCCAAGAUGGAAGUUUAGCUGCCUGCCUUCGAAGUGGGUAUCCUUCUUGCUCUUUGGGAAACUGAGGCACAAAGAAGGAAAGGAAUCUGCUCAAGGCAGUGAGGAAAAUCUUCGGCAAGGUUGGCAACUUCCAAAAGAUCGUCGGAGUUUCUGCCAACUCUCUUGAUACCCACGGUGCUCUCUGACAGAAGACAGUGACAUGACAGGAAUGGUGACACAAGGCUCUUACUGUUACAUUCAAUAAUUGAUUCUUCUGGAUGGAUUGUGACUCCCUAAAGGUUGCAAAGAGAGAUGAUUAGUGGACACCGACAUCUAAAUCAGUAGUAAAAAGAAAAGCAGGAACCCAGGAGAGCGGGGAAGGACUCCAGCAAUGCAAACAUAAAUGGUGAUAAAAUGUUCCUCAGUUAUACAGAGAUGGAUGUGCGUUCCAUGUGCUGUUUUCAGCUGUGUACUUACACCACUCCAAAAUCCCAAGGAGAAAAGGAAAAGCUGAGAUUCACAUCAGUAGCAAAGAACAUCAGGUGAUGUUGAUUUAAAGAAAACAUUAAUCAAUCCAGAUUUGCUUGGAACCGGGCCCAGGUUCACUCAACAGUUUUCCCCUCCUCUUUCUGGUGCAGAACCUCAGAAGCAUCCAAGAAGGGAUUUUGGAGACCAUAAACAGUUCUAAUUGAGAACAGCCGCAAAUCAAGUUAAGUGCCAGCCUGACUAUCAGAAUAUAAAUGAAACUCUUUUAUUAAAACAUUGUAUUUUAAUUAUUGUGAAGAACAAGUGGCCUAAUGUGAAAAAGCUUUUAACAUAGCAGUUAUUUGCUUGAUAGCUGAUAACUUAAUUUCGGGGGGAUGAUUACAGGUAUGGCUUUUUGUCUUCUUCACUUUCAUUUUUACUUGAUCUAAUGACUGUUCACUGAUUUUCAUUUGGACUUGAGGUCAUUUUCUAAUUCAGUUGCUAAUAAACUCAGAUUGGUUGGGGCCUGUUAUUGAAAUCAGGUUUUCUAUUUCCAGUUUAAAAGGCCAGGGAAGUUUUGUUGGUGUUUUGAAAGAAGUUUAGAGUGUUUUGGACUGAUGAUUUGCAAACGUAGGAGCUCUUUGCAGAGUGACCCUUCGCUAGUCAACUGUAAGCACUUGUCAAUUUGUUCUCUGCCAUGAAGAUAACCUGGCAUGCAAUGAGAGCAUGGGAUGGCAAUUCACUACAACUGAGGGGGAAAAAAACCCCCAAACAGCAAGAAUACAUGUCACUCUAAGCAGAUACCAUAACUAUAAAACAGUUACUGUUACAUCAUUCAAGCCCUUCCUUUCUAGCCAAGAGACUGAGAGUGGAAUUAAACACACACAUUUGCCACAGAUUUUAGGCUAUUUAUGCUAUUUUAGUCGUCUCCUCAACCUGCACAUUUAGUGUCUUCACUUGCAUCCUAAUCCUGAGCUGAUUUGUGUGAAUGGUGGAUAGGCACCACUAAAAUGGGGAUUGUGAGCUUCAUCUGUCAUCCCUGCUGCUCUACCAUUGACUUCAGUGAGCUUCCAGAGGAAUGAGUCUGGCCCACAAGAGGAUGUGAACUGUCAAGAAGACAAACCUCUUUCUCAUCCACUUGAAAUGUUUGUGGGAAAGAAUGCCCUAAAUAUUUAGCAGGUUUUGUAAUUUGAGAGGCAAUGCAGGUUUUUUUUUUUUUCAUUUUAGUUUUCUCCCUACCUUUCCAUUUUCUUUAUUAAGUAGAGGAAAACCUUGCCUUAGGCCCAGUGUGCUUAUGACAGGGAAAAAAUAUCUGCCAGAAUCUCCAUUAUUGCUCGGGCCUGUAUAUAUUGUUAUUGCUCUUGUAUUUGUAAUAGCAAAAGGUGACUGUGCCUCUUAUGAAAAAUUCUGUUUGCAGAAAAUACCUUCUUCCCCCCACCUUUUCCAAACCCAGCACGGUGCAUAAAGAAUCCAGGGGUGUUUAUGUUGGUUAUGUUAAUGCAGCAGAGCUCAAAGCAGCAUAUAUGUAAGGACUGGACAUGUGUACCAUAGCUGGGCAUUGUGGUGAUGCAGCUCACGGAAUCAGGAGGAAGCAGAGAUGCUUAAAGCCAGUUUAACUUCCUCUCCCUUGCAUGUUUGGGAGUCAAUGAAGCUGCACAGAGAGCAUCAGUGAAAUCUGCUGCAGCCCACGCUGGUUUCUGGUGGACAGAAGACCCAAAGUGGAACUUAACCUCAGAUGUCCCCAGUGUGCCAGCUCCAAGACUGGUUGCUGGUACCUUCAAAGAGUGAGAAGUCGGCACCUCCUUUGGCUGCCAAGGCUUCCGUGCAACCGAGUGCUCCUCUUUCCCAGCAGAAGGGACUCUGCUUUCUGCCUUUGCUCUUGCCUAAGGAAGGAGUUGAAUUAUCCUGCUACUUAUCAAGAAGAAAAGAAGAGCAAAAGAUCAUUGGUUUAAUGGACAUGCUUUGGAUUUAGAGCUGGCAUCCUAGAAGCAGAAUUGUCCCUGUGGAUGUAGAAAUAUCAUGGUAACACUGCCCAGGGAUCUAACUCCACAACUUCUGCUGAGGCCCUUCGGGUAAACCAGGGUGUAUCGCGACUCCUCCUGAGUUCAAAGGCUGAGGUGUGCUCUCCAAAGAAUGUGCAACACUCCUGCUCUGACUAACCACAGGAAAUCAGGGAGCUUGGUGACCAGUGUGGGAGCCUGCCCAUGGAUUGCCCAGCCAUUCCUGACAACCAGCCUGGUGGCUGGAUUGGGCUGCAGCCUCUUCCCCAAACCCCCUGGGCCAUAUUGUUGUCCUGAUGAUUUCAACAGGCAUGUGACAGAGAGUAAGUCUGCCCUUCAUAACCACCGGGAGACUGACUCCAGUGAGGCUGACUGCCAUGAGAAAUGCUCUCAGAAGGUAUUAGUUGAAGAAGGAUGGCAGUGACUCCUGGGUGAGUGUCCCCUGAAUCUGCUGCUGUUCUGCAGGACCCAGUAGAAUCCCAGUUUCAAAAUAGAAAGAAUGCAAAAUUCAUCCACCAACCUUUGCCAUGUUGUGAACAUCCCCAGUCUGUUUCCUCUGGAAGAACUCCAAGUGACUUGAAAGUUGGAACUGAUGGAUAUACAAAUCAGGCUAUAGCAGCACACACAUCUCAGAUGAGGGAGCCCUAUUCCGAUGGAAACAUCUGGUUUCAUUACACCAGGGAUAAAAAUGAGGAACAAAGCAACAACCUUCCUGAAACUCUGGAAGAAGGAGAGAAUGGUGCAUCCUCUUGCUGUUUCCUGCCAUGCCUUGCUGUUCCAGCUUCUCCCAGAUGGAGCAAAGACCUUUAGAAGUUUGAGGGACACACAAAUGACAGAACCUGAAUUAGGAAGAGGCUGCACCUUCCCAGUUGUGCCAACAUGCCACUUGUGAACAGAGGCUUUGAACACAUGCCACAUAAGUGCUUCUGUUUUGAGACUUGUCCCUCUCCAGGAUUGCUGUCAGCCAGCAUGACAACCAGGGAAUUCUGCUGGAGAAGUAUUUUGAGGAACUCCAUAAUGAAAGAGGUUAUCACCCAGGAGUUAUACCCAGCUUGUUUUUCAGCCCUGGAAAGGGAAGAUACUGUGCUGUGAACAAAGCAGUGAUGGCUCUUGGGUCCUCCCUGGGCACGAGGAGAGCAGUGGAGCUGUUUUGGAUGGCACAUGUACAGGCUCUUGAUUCAUGGAGGUCUGGCCAGUCCCAGCCCCUUCUGAUGCGGUUGGUCUGACACUUCUACAGUGCUUUCCACUUCCUCACACGCUCUGCUCAGGAAGAAGACACAGGCAGGCCCUUCACCUCUCCCCUGUCCUUGGGUGGCUGAGCUGGGAACGUCAAACAGAGGAACUGUUCCUUGAGGAUAAAUCUUCAUUUCUCUCAUGUGAAGAACUAUGCCGAGAUCUGCCCGUGGAAAAUUACAUUCUAGGAGCAAGAAUCACAAAGGACCUUUGCUUUCAGACUCUUCUUUAGGAGGUCCACAGCAUAAUGAGCAAACUGGAAUGAAGUGUAUUAACCUUUGAAAGAUGAAAGGAAAGUUAUAUGUCAAGACACAACAAUUUGCGAAGUUUUCAAGUAUUCAAGUGACGAAGGUCAUGCAAACUGUCCUAUGGUUUUGACUUGAUAAACCUUAACUUUGAGAUGCUGCAGGAGGUGGAUUCACUGGACUUCUCUGUAACCUUCAAAUGUAAUUGCAUCAGCCUAAGUUAGGAAUUUUUCAGAGGACAUACUCCUGGUCUCCCAUCUCCAACUGGAGCAAGAAGAUCUCACGAGAGAAGUAUUAAAAUUUCCUCCUACACAAAGCAGGAAGAGGAGACACAGCCCUGGACUUCCUCUCCCAGAUCCUUCCUGACCAAGAUGCCCUGCUCCAAGGGAGGAGCCGUGACCUUCAAAGGCCGUGUCUUGGCACAUCAGGACAUACUCAUGUGCAUAGCACACGUUCGUUGUUCUGCUGCAAAACAGAAUAUCAGCCAUUAGCUUCUGCAGCUAAUUAUUGGAUUUCAUAACUGACUCUUCAGAAACAGCUACAAGGAUUCGGUUGAGCCUUUAUACUGAGCUCUGGGUAAGGGUUUCCAUGCAGCAAGAGGAGAAUCACUGUAUGGGUCACAGUUUCUUCAGAAAAGCGAGGAAUCCUCAGCUCAUCUAUGUCAGUUCACCUAUAGCAGCAAGUCAGGUGACAGAGCUGGGACUUAUCCCUUGACAUGGGACAUGUGUUUAUCAGGCCAGGAGCUGGGAACUCAUGUCUGGCUGUACAUAAGAUUUGUAGUCCCUUGCAUGGGUAAAGCAAAUCAAAAACCAUCCUGGCUGGUACUUGCGGAAAUUCCAUAGUGGUGGUGGCUUGAAAAGUGGGGUACUAGUUAGAAACCAAUUCUUGUUACAGUCACAAAUGUGAAGAGACCUUAAAGCAAAAUUACUGGGAAAGUGGUGUAGGUUAGACAAUGAAAGAAUCACUAGGAAUAGCUUCUCCCUAUCAAGGCAGUGCAAUCCACUGAAAGCCACGUUUGCACUGAUAAUUAAUUCCUUGACUACUAUAGCAGAGUGAAUCUAUAAAAAAAAUCUGCUCACACUUUUUUUCCCCCACCACACUCCCCUACCACAUCACAUUUCAAAUCUAUAGAGUUGUAGCAGAGCUGUUUCAAAGCAGAAACCCAAAGACAAUACCAAAGAGCUGCUGCUUCCUACAAGUCUUCUGCCUACUCACGAUGGACCAAUUUAUGAAGCUGACAAAAUUCACCAUUAAAACGUGAAGACCAUGAAAGUGUAAUGUGUAAUACCCAGCUAAACAAAAUGACUCUUUUAUCUCUGACUAUUUGGUUUAACAACUGUAGCAAGGGUGUACACAAAUUUUCAGAAAUACACUUACUGCUUAUGCCUCUCCACUAAGGGCUGGUACUGUGGCCAUACCCUGGCAGAACUGAGGUGGCAUCCAGAACCCCUGUAGUAUCUUGAGAGCUGAAUGUUCAGCCUCUCAGGUGAUAAACUGUCCAUUAAUGUAGUGAUAGAAAUGGAGUGUCAUAUUUAAUGAGAAAACAAUUCCUAGGACACUUACCUGCUACCUUUCCAGUGUGCGAAAACUGGUUCCUUUGUAUUGUUUUAUUGUCUGUGCUCUUGCCAAGUGUGUAAGAUGGCACCAAGUGACCCCAAACAAACUUGAACUGAAGUACACAGAGAGAGGAUUAAUCAGUCAGGCACUUAAGCAUAAGCUUCAUGUUAAGCAUGCAACAUAAUGUUGUUAAAGUGAACUUAGUGGUAUUAUUUGUAUGUUUAAAGUUAACCACUGAACUUAUCUGUUGUGCUACAUCAGUGCCUGAUAGCUUGUGCACUUACUUGCAAAUUUAAGAUACUUAAUGUGUUUAUUCUGGACUCUUCCUGUUGUUGUGCAUCUGAAAUUGUUGCCCUCAACCAAGCAGGGUAGCACUGUACAGCAGCAGUGCAGGCCAGCUCUUCCUCAGCCAGGGAUGUGGACAGGGAAUGCACAAAGCAGCUCUCCACCAGCUCUCCAGCAGCAGAUCAGGUUCUCCAGAGCCCUUAAGCAAAAGUACCUAGUUCUGGCAUUAGCCUCAAGGGCAGCAGGGUUAGGCCACUCCUGAAGGCUUUUGGAAGUUUUUGCUCAUCGGGUUGGGAAUAGUGAGAGGAACACUGUGGUUUCCCUGCUGCUGUCGGAGACAGAAGAGCUGAGCUCUGGUCUUUCUUCACUCAUGGAUGUUCUCCAUUUGUUCAAGUCCUCUCACCUCAUCUCUAGUUUGGGGAGGACAUAUUUUGCUGUCACAACUCCUCUCCUCUGUGCAUACAAAGGUGAUGGACCCCAAGACCUAGAAACAUGAAACCUCCAUGUAAGAGUGGCAUGUGAGCUGGACCACCCCACCUGGCUCCUUCCAUACUUCAUUUGUACGGAAGGAUGGUCUGGGGAGAUUUAGGCAAUAAACCAAUAUUCCCACCCACUAAUAACCAAAAAGUAAAUGUUCCUGAAUGAUGUACUCAGCACCUUCUAUUCUCACUGAAGUAAAUAGUUCCUUUGGGACUACUUUCAUGUGUCUUUAGGGAAUGUAACCAAAUUAUACCACAUGAGAGCUGGUAAUUUUAAUGUUAUGCUGUAAGGGGAAAACUAUAAACAUAACAGGAAAGACUGGAUGUUUUCCAUUCAUAAUUUUAGAAAGGUUUCUUCUCAUCUGUACAUAUUAGCUUUUCAACAUCUCUGGCAAGAUUUAAAUGAAUUAUUUAACUGGAAUUGAAAAGCAGGUCUUACUUUUAAAUUAACGUGAUAAAA